AACGAACGCUGGUGGCGUGUCUUAACACAUGCAAGUCGCACGCGAAAGGGACUUCGGUCCCGAGUAGAGUGGCGCACGGGUGAGUAACGCGUAAGUAAUCUACCCCUGUAUCUGGAAUAACCCACCGAAAGGUGAGCUAAUACCGGAUACGUUUAUCUUGAUGCGAAUGAUGAUAAAGAAAGGUGGCCUCUUCAUGAAAGCUACCGUACAGGGACGAGCUUGCGUACCAUUAGCUGGUUGGUAGGGUAAUGGCCUACCAAGGCGACGAUGGUUAGCGGGUCUGAGAGGAUGAUCCGCCACACUGGAACUGAAACACGGACCAGACUCCUACGGGAGGCAGCAGUGAGGAAUAUUGCGCAAUGGGGGCAACCCUGACGCAGCGACGCCGCGUGGACGAUGAAGGCCCUUGGGUCGUAAAAUCCUGUCAGAUGGAAAGAAAUGUACAGGUGUUAAUAUCGCCUGUAUUUGACGGUACCAUCAAAGAAG
rnacentral:rRNA from 1 species